rnacentral:rRNA from 1 species
CUAUGUUGGCCGGGCGACGGUUGUCCCGGUUUAAGCGUGUAGGCUGGUUUUCCAGGCAAAUCCGGAAAACUAAGGCUGAGGCGUGAUGACGAGGCACUACGGUGCUGAAGCAACAAAUGCCCUGCUUCCAGGAAAAGCCUCUAAGCAUCAGGUAACAUCAAAUCGUACCCCAAACCGACACAGGUGGUCAGGUAGAGAAUACCAAGGCGCUUGAGAGAACUCGGGUGAAGGAACUAGGCAAAAUGGUGCCGUAACUUCGGGAGAAGGCACGCUGAUAUGUAGGUGAAGUCCCUCGCGGAUGGAGCUGAAAUCAGUCGAAGAUACCAGCUGGCUGCAACUGUUUAUUAAAAACACAGCACUGUGCAAACACGAAAGUGGACGUAUACGGUGUGACGCCUGCCCGGUGCCGGAAGGUUAAUUGAUGGGGUCAGCGCAAGCGAAGCUCUUGAUCGAAGCCCCGGUAAACGGCGGCCGUAACUAUAACGGUCCUAAGGUAGCGAAAUUCCUUGUCGGGUAAGUUCCGACCUGCACGAAUGGCGUAAUGAUGGCCAGGCUGUCUCCACCCGAGACUCAGUGAAAUUGAACUCGCUGUGAAGAUGCAGUGUACCCGCGGCAAGACGGAAAGACCCCGUGAACCUUUACUAUAGCUUGACACUGAACAUUGAGCCUUGAUGUGUAGGAUAGGUGGGAGGCUUUGAAGUGUGGACGCCAGUCUGCAUGGAGCCGACCUUGAAAUACCACCCUUUAAUGUUUGAUGUUCUAACGUUGACCCGUAAUCCGGGUUGCGGACAGUGUCUGGUGGGUAGUUUGACUGGGGCGGUCUCCUCCUAAAGAGUAACGGAGGAGCACGAAGGUUGGCUAAUCCUGGUCGGACAUCAGGAGGUUAGUGCAAUGGCAUAAGCCAGCUUGACUGCGAGCGUGACGGCGCGAGCAGGUGCGAAAGCAGGUCAUAGUGAUCCGGUGGUUCUGAAUGGAAGGGCCAUCGCUCAACGGAUAAAAGGUACUCCGGGGAUAACAGGCUGAUACCGCCCAAGAGUUCAUAUCGACGGCGGUGUUUGGCACCUCGAUGUCGGCUCAUCACAUCCUGGGGCUGAAGUAGGUCCCAAGGGUAUGGCUGUUCGCCAUUUAAAGUGGUACGCGAGCUGGGUUUAGAACGUCGUGAGACAGUUCGGUCCCUAUCUGCCGUGGGCGCUGGAGAACUGAGGGGGGCUGCUCCUAGUACGAGAGGACCGGAGUGGACGCAUCACUGGUGUUCGGGUUGUCAUGCCAAUGGCACUGCCCGGUAGCUAAAUGCGGAAGAGAUAAGUGCUGAAAGCAUCUAAGCACGAAACUUGCCCCGAGAUGAGUUCUCCCUGACUCCUUGAGAGUCCUGAAGGAACGUUGAAG